ensembl:rRNA 5S_rRNA 5S ribosomal RNA
GCUUACGGCCAUACCAGCCCAAGAACGCCUGGUCUUGUCUGAUCUCGGAAGCUAAGAAGGCUUGAGCCUGGUUAGUACUUGGAUGGGAGACCUCCUGGGAAUACCAUGUGCUGUAAGCU